rnacentral:rRNA from 1 species
AAGAGACAGCAGCAGCCGCGGUAAUACAGAGGGUGCGAGCGUUAAUCGGAUUUACUGGGCGUAAAGCGUGCGUAGGCGGCUUUUUAAGUCGGAUGUGAAAUCCCUGAGCUUAACUUAGGAAUUGCAUUCGAUACUGGGAAGCUAGAGUAUGGGAGAGGAUGGUAGAAUUCCAGGUGUAGCGGUGAAAUGCGUAGAGAUCUGGAGGAAUACCGAUGGCGAAGGCAGCCAUCUGGCCUAAUACUGACGCUGAGGUACGAAAGCAUGGGGAGCAAACAGGAUUAGAUAACCCCGUAGUCCCUGUCUCUUAUAU